AUUGAACGCUGGCGGCAUGCUUUAUACAUGCAAGUCGUGCGGCAGCGCGGGGGCAACUCUGGCGGCGAGCGGCGAACGGGUGAGUAAUACAUAGGAACGUAUCCUGAAAUGGGGGAUAGCUCGGCGAAAGCCGGAUUAAUACCGCAUACGCUCCACGGAGGAAAGCCGGGGACCGCAAGGCCUGGCGUUAAUAGAUGAGCCCAAGUCGGAUUAGCUAGUUGGUAGGGUAAGGCCUACCAAGGCGACGAUCCGUAACUGGUCUGAGAGGACGACCAGUCACACCGGAACUGAGACACGGUCCGGACUCCUACGGGAGGCAGCAGUGGGGAAUAUUGGACAAUGGGCGAAAGCCUGAUCCAGCGACGCCGCGUGGGUGAAGAAGGCCUGCGGGUUGUAAAGCCCUUUCAGUGGGGAAGAAAAGCCUCGACCUAACACGUCGGGGUCUUGACGUAACCCAUAGAAGAAGCACGGCUAACUCUGUGCCAGCCGCCGCCGUAAC
rnacentral:rRNA from 1 species